GGGGAUGAAACUGGCUUCGACGGGGAUUUGGAGCCUUCAGCAGCGAGCAGUUGUGAGAAGCAACUUAAAAAGUCUCAAAAAAAUUAAGCGAAAACGAAAAUUACGCUCUAGCAGCCUAAGCGCUGCUCAUCUUAUGUUAGAGGCCCACGGCUAAUAAUAAGGUGUCAAAUUAGUGGGAAACAAAGUUCUGUAAGUCAUCAUAGCAGGAUGGGUAUUUAUGAUGAUAUAGUUUAAAUAUCGUGACAAUUCGAGAUUUAAACCGAAUUUAAAAAAUAUGUCUGCGCUCGGAGAGGCUGAUUGUGAAGAGUUUUCGGACACGGGUUCGACUCCCGUCAUCUCCACCA
rnacentral:tmRNA from 1 species